rnacentral:rRNA from 1 species
GACGAACGCUGGCGGCGGGCUUAACACAUGCAAGUCGAACGGAAAGGCCCUGCUUGUGUGGGGUGCUCGGGUGGCGAACGGGUGAGGAACACGUGAGUAACCUGCCCUUGACUUUGGGGUAACUUCAGGAAACUGGGGCUAAUACCGGAUAGGAUCUGCUGCUGCAGGGUGGGGGGUGGAAAGUUUCGGCGGUUGGGGAUGGACUCGCGGCUUAUGAGCUUGUUGGUGGGGUAGUGGCUGACCAAGGCUUUGACGGGUAGCCGGCCUGAGAGGGUGACCGGCGACAUUGGGACUGAGAUACGGACCAGACUCCUACGGGAGGCAGCAGUGGGGAAUAUUGCACAAUGGGCGGAAGCCUGAUGCAGCAGCGCCGCGUGCGGGAUGACGGCCUUCGGGUUGUAAACCGCUUUCGCCUGUGACGAAGCGUGAGUGACGGUAAUGGGUAAAGAAGCACCGGCUAACUACGUG